rnacentral:rRNA from 1 species
AUAUCAAUAAGCGGAGGAAAAGAAACCAACAGGGAUUGCCCUAGUAACGGCGAGUGAAGCGGCAACAGCUCAAAUUUGAAAUCUGGCUCUCGGGCCCGAGUUGUAAUUUGUAGAGGAUACUUUUGAUGCGGUGCCUUCCGAGUUCCCUGGAACGGGACGCCAUAGAGGGUGAGAGCCCCGUCUGGUUGGAUGCCAAAUCUCUGUAAAGUUCCUUCAACGAGUCGAGUAGUUUGGGAAUGCUGCUCUAAAUGGGAGGUAUAUGUCUUCUAAAGCUAAAUACCGGCCAGAGACCGAUAGCGCACAAGUAGAGUGAUCGAAAGAUGAAAAGCACUUUGAAAAGAGAGUUAAAAAGUACGUGAAAUUGUUGAAAGGGAAGCGUUUAUGACCAGACUUGGGCUUGGUUAAUCAUCUGGGGUUCUCCCCAGUGCACUUUUCCAGUCCAGGCCAGCAUCAGUUUUCCCCGGGGGAUAAAGGCGGCGGGAAUGUGGCUCUCUUCGGGGAGUGUUAUAGCCCACCGUGUAAUACCCUGGGGGGGACUGAGGUUCGCGCAUCUGCAAGGAUGCUGGCGUAAUGGUCAUCAACGAC